AGCAUGUGUUAAUUCGAUGAUACGCGAGGAACCUUACCUGGGCUCAAAUGUAUGUUGACGUAUUCUGAAAGGGAUACUUCUUCGGACAAUAUACAAGGUGCUGCAUGGUUGUCGUCAGCUCGUGCCGUGAGGUGUCGGGUUAAGUCCCAUAACGAGCGCAACCCCUAUCAUUAGUUGCCAUCAGGUCAAGCUGGGGACUCUAAUGAAACUGCCUACGCAAGUAGUGAGGAAGGUGGGGAUGACGUCAAAUCAGCACGGCCCUUACGUCCAGGGCUACACACGUGCUACAAUGGCCGGUACAAAGGGCAGCUACCUGGUGACAGGAUGCUAAUCUCAAAAGCCGGUCUCAGUUCGGAUCGGAGUCUGCAACCCGACUCCGUGAAGCUGGAAUCGCUAGUAAUCGUGGAUCAGCAUGCCACGGUGAAUACGUUCCCGGGCCUU
rnacentral:rRNA from 1 species